UAGAGGAUUUUUGCCUCUCUGUGUC
rnacentral:piRNA from 1 species